rnacentral:lncRNA from 1 species
UUUAGGGCAAAUCUCCAAAAUAGCACAUUUCUAAGUUUAUAUCACAAAAAUAGCACUCAAAAAUUAAAAUGACCAAAAUAGCAUUUUAUCUUUUAAAAAUUUAAAUUUUUUUAUUUUUCAAAAUUUGAAAUCUUAUCCCCAAAACCUCACUUUUCAACUCUAAACCCUAAAACCUAAACUCUAAACCCUAAACCCUAAAUUCUAAACCCUAAACCCUACCCCUUGAGUGCUAUUUUUGUGA